rnacentral:rRNA from 1 species
AACGAACGCUGGCGGCAUGCCUAACACAUGCCAGUCGAACGAGACCUUCGGGUCUAGUGGCGCACGGGUGCGUAACGCGUGGGAACCUGCCCUUAGGUUCGGAAUAACUCCCCGAAAGAGGUGCUAAUACCGGAUAAUGUCUUCGGACCAAAGAUUUAUCGCCUUUGGAUGGGCCCGCGUUGGAUUAGCUAGUUGGUAGGGUAAAAGCCUACCAAGGCGACGAUCCAUAGCUGGUCUGAGAGGAUGAUCAGCCACACUGGGACUGAGACACGGCCCAGACUCCUACGGGAGGCAGCAGUGGGGAAUAUUGGACAAUGGGCGAAAGCCUGAUCCAGCAAUGCCGCGUGAGUGAUGAAGGCCUUAGGGUUGUAAAGCUCUUUUACCCGGGAUGAUAAUGACAGUACCGGGAGAAUAAGCUCCGGCUAACUCCGUG